rnacentral:snRNA from 1 species
GGAUGUGAGGGCUACCUGGUUGCAUCAUCUGUCACCCCACUGACCACCAGGGAUGCUUUGGCUCAUCUGGCUGGUUGGGGACAUGUCUCCUUCCUCCCUCGUGGUUCUAUGUGUAUGCUCCAAAACUGUGUGCUCAGUUGAAGAGGAUAAGCUUUCCCAAAAAAGGGGGGCUAUUCUUUGGUCAAGGGUGUAUGAAUAGUUGUGCUCUCCUGCUAAAAGCUCCAAACAAGCUCUCAAGGUCCAUUUGUAGGCUAACAUGGUAUAGUCAAACUUCCAAGAUUCCAGACAUAUCCAGAUGAGGUGCUGCAUGUGGCAACCUAUCUUUUUUU